GGUUAAGCGACUAAGCGUACACGGUGGAUGCCCUGGCAGUCAGAGGCGAUGAAGGACGUGCUAAUCUGCGAUAAGCGUCGGUAAGGUGAUAUGAACCGUUAUAACCGGCGAUUUCCGAAUGGGGAAACCCAGUGUGAUUCGUCACACUAUCAUUAACUGAAUCCAUAGGUUAAUGAGGCGAACCGGGGGAACUGAAACAUCUAAGUACCCCGAGGAAAAGAAAUCAACCGAGAUUCCCCCAGUAGCGGCGAGCGAACGGGGAGCAGCCCAGAGCCUGAAUCAGUGUGUGUGUUAGUGGAAGCGUCUGGAAAGGCGUGCGAUACAGGGUGACAGCCCCGUACACAAAAAUGCACAUGCUGUGAGCUCGAUGAGUAGGGCGGGACACGUGGUAUCCUGUCUGAAUAUGGGGGGACCAUCCUCCAAGGCUAAAUACUCCUGACUGACCGAUAGUGAACCAGUACCGUGAGGGAAAGGCGAAAAGAACCCCGGCGAGGGGAGUGAAAAAGAACCUGAAACCGUGUACGUACAAGCAGUGGGAGCACGCUUAGGCGUGUGACUGCGUACCUUUUGUAUAAUGGGUCAGCGACUUAUAUUCUGUAGCAAGGUUAACCGAAUAGGGGAGCCGAAGGGAAACCGAGUCUUAACUGGGCGUUAAGUUGCAGGGUAUAGACCCGAAACCCGGUGAUCUAGCCAUGGGCAGGUUGAAGGUUGGGUAACACUAACUGGAGGACCGAACCGACUAAUGUUGAAAAAUUAGCGGAUGACUUGUGGCUGGGGGUGAAAGGCCAAUCAAACCGGGAGAUAGCUGGUUCUCCCCGAAAGCUAUUUAGGUAGCGCCUCGUGAAUUCAUCUCCGGGGGUAGAGCACUGUUUCGGCAAGGGGGUCAUCCCGACUUACCAACCCGAUGCAAACUGCGAAUACCGGAGAAUGUUAUCACGGGAGACACACGGCGGGUGCUAACGUCCGUCGUGAAGAGGGAAACAACCCAGACCGCCAGCUAAGGUCCCAAAGUCAUGGUUAAGUGGGAAACGAUGUGGGAAGGCCCAGACAGCCAGGAUGUUGGCUUAGAAGCAGCCAUCAUUUAAAGAAAGCGUAAUAGCUCACUGGUCGAGUCGGCCUGCGCGGAAGAUGUAACGGGGCUAAACCAUGCACCGAAGCUGCGGCAGCGACGCUUAUGCGUUGUUGGGUAGGGGAGCGUUCUGUAAGCCUGUGAAGGUGUACUGUGAGGUAUGCUGGAGGUAUCAGAAGUGCGAAUGCUGACAUAAGUAACGAUAAAGCGGGUGAAAAGCCCGCUCGCCGGAAGACCAAGGGUUCCUGUCCAACGUUAAUCGGGGCAGGGUGAGUCGACCCCUAAGGCGAGGCCGAAAGGCGUAGUCGAUGGGAAACAGGUUAAUAUUCCUGUACUUGGUGUUACUGCGAAGGGGGGACGGAGAAGGCUAUGUUGGCCGGGCGACGGUUGUCCCGGUUUAAGCGUGUAGGCUGGUUUUCCAGGCAAAUCCGGAAAAUCAAGGCUGAGGCGUGAUGACGAGGCACUACGGUGCUGAAGCAACAAAUGCCCUGCUUCCAGGAAAAGCCUCUAAGCAUCAGGUAACAUCAAAUCGUACCCCAAACCGACACAGGUGGUCAGGUAGAGAAUACCAAGGCGCUUGAGAGAACUCGGGUGAAGGAACUAGGCAAAAUGGUGCCGUAACUUCGGGAGAAGGCACGCUGAUAUGUAGGUGAAGCGACUUGCUCGUGGAGCUGAAAUCAGUCGAAGAUACCAGCUGGCUGCAACUGUUUAUUAAAAACACAGCACUGUGCAAACACGAAAGUGGACGUAUACGGUGUGACGCCUGCCCGGUGCCGGAAGGUUAAUUGAUGGGGUCAGCGCAAGCGAAGCUCUUGAUCGAAGCCCCGGUAAACGGCGGCCGUAACUAUAACGGUCCUAAGGUAGCGAAAUUCCUUGUCGGGUAAGUUCCGACCUGCACGAAUGGCGUAAUGAUGGCCAGGCUGUCUCCACCCGAGACUCAGUGAAAUUGAACUCGCUGUGAAGAUGCAGUGUACCCGCGGCAAGACGGAAAGACCCCGUGAACCUUUACUAUAGCUUGACACUGAACAUUGAGCCUUGAUGUGUAGGAUAGGUGGGAGGCUUGGAAGUGUGGACGCCAGUCUGCAUGGAGCCGACCUUGAAAUACCACCCUU
rnacentral:rRNA from 1 species